UACGUAGGUGGCAAGCGUUAUCCGGAAUUAUUGGGCGUAAAGAGCGCGCAGGUGGUUAAUUAAGUCUGAUGUGAAAGCCCACGGCUUAACCGUGGAGGGUCAUUGGAAACUGGUUGACUUGAGUGCAGAAGAGGGAAGUGGAAUUCCAUGUGUAGCGGUGAAAUGCGUAGAGAUAUGGAGGAACACCAGUGGCGAAGGCGGCUUCCUGGUCUGCAACUGACACUGAGGCGCGAAAGCGUGGGUAGCAAACAGG
rnacentral:rRNA from 1 species